AUUGAACGCUGGCGGCAGGCUUAACACAUGCAAGUCGAGCGGAGAUGAGGUGCUUGCACCUUAUCUUAGCGGCGGACGGGUGAGUAAUGCUUAGGAAUCCGCCUAUUAGUGGGGGACAACAUUCUGAAAGGAAUGCUAAUACCGCAUACGUCCUACGGGAGAAAGCAGGGGAUCUUCGGACCUUGCGCUAAUAGAUGAGCCUAAGUCGGAUUAGCUAGUUGGUGGGGUAAAGGCCUACCAAGGCGACGAUCUGUAGCGGGUCUGAGAGGAUGAUCCGCCACACUGGGACGGAGACACGGCCCAGACUCCUACGGGAGGCGGCAGUGGGGAAUAUUGGACAGUGGGGGAAACCCUGAUCCAGCCAUGCCGCGUGUGUGAAGAAGGCCUUAUGGUUGUAAAGCACUUUAAGCGAGGAGGAGGCUACUGAGACUAAUACUCUUGGAUAGUGGACGUUACUCGCAGAAUAAGCACCGGCUAACUCUGUGCCAGCCGCCGCAGUAA
rnacentral:rRNA from 1 species